GUCUAUGGCUAUACCACCCUGAACAUGCCCAAUCUCAUCUGAUCCUGGAAGCUAAACAGGGUCGGGCCUGGUUAGUACUUGGAUGGGAGUCAGACUCAUGCAACAGGAAGUUGUCUUGAGGCCUGCCCACCAGACU
ensembl:rRNA 5S_rRNA 5S ribosomal RNA